GGAGAGGAGAGGAGAGGAGAGGAGAGGAGAGGAGAGGAGAGGAGAGGAGAGGAGAGGAGAGAAGAGAAGAGAAGAGAAGAGAAGAGAAGAGAAGAGAAGAGAAGAGAAGAGAAGAGAAGAGAAGAGAAGAGAAGAGAAGAGAAGAGAAGAGAAGAGAAGAGAAGAGAAGAGAAGAGAAGAGAAGAGAAGUUUUCCAAAGGCUAAGAGAACUCCUCCAUUAAGGACUGCACAGGUCUGGAAUGCCACUGCAAACUGCAUUCCUACAUGAGGAAGAAGAGAGAAAAGUUUGACAAGUCUUUUGGAAAUCACAGGACAGUUUUCAAGUUGAGAGAAUGCCAGAUUCCUUAGAUGUAGAUGACUGACAAGUGGGUGACACAAGCAUCGUUUCAGUUUCUUUUUGCAUCUUCAUUGUCUCCCUUCAUGCAAGCAACUGAUUAAAAUGUCAAAUAGUACUAGACUCUUGUCUAGUAGAAGACUCUCUGAACUCAGUUUGGUCUGUCUCUUCUCCUUGACAGCACACCUUUGAAAUGACUGGAACACCAUAAUAAAAGGGUCUUGUUAACAGUUGACAAUUCUGUGAUCUCAGCCUGGGAGAUGCAAACAUUCUAUUUAACAAGCCCACUCUGAGUCAUUCCUUCCUUAGCUGUGAUGGAUACAUUUGUCCUCUAUCCGUAUGUUGAUUCAGGCUAAGGAGCAACAGAACUCAUGCCCUGUGGUGAACUGGCAAGCUGGAAAGCUCCUGGCUCACAAAGGAGUGAAAGUGCCUCAGAAAAAUCUUUCAAAAGGUGGUUUCAAGACCCCAAAAUGCAAGAUCACUAAUGUACACAUCAAGACACCAGAGCUGAAAUGAGGACAUUGAUCUUAUCAAUACUGUUGAGUGGUGUAUUGGAGCUCUCCCUGAAUCACAGCUGAACUGCACAUCAAGUACCUCUCUGCUGGAGCAGGGACACAUCUCAAGGUUUGAGAUCCCUUACUUGAGACUAAGAGGUCCUUCCUUACCCAAAUCAAAGAGGUCUCUUACUCAUAAUACAUCUUCUACAAGUGACAGAUAGCACAAUAAACUGACACUGGAGAAGUAUUAUUGAUCCAUGUAACUACUCAUUAUUAUAAACAUUUUCUAGAUAAUUCCAUUAGGAAUAGUCUAUUGUCCAAGUCUGAGAUUAAGAUUGGACCUAGCUGCACCUAGGCUCUAUCAGGAGUUUAGAAAGCAAAGGGGUCUGCUCUGAACCUCAUGACUCAAUAGGAAGGUUUUUGGUCUCUUUGCAUCACAUGUCUCUGUAAAUCAUUCUAACUCAAUUUUCCUCUGUAUGUUUCUUCCAUGCAGUAAUUGCUAAGGUGAACCUUGCCAUCAGGACUUAGUGGACCUUGUCAAACCACUGUAAAACUUUAUUAAAAUCCAUUGAAUCCAUUAUUGGACUCCAUCAAGUUAUUAUUUUACCUCAAUAAAACAUACUGCAGCUUCUCCCUUUUGAGUGAGAUGCAUUUCACACAUCUGUGACAUUAGCCUAGUCUCAAUUCUCAGCCCAGGGUCACUGGUGCAGCUCUGCUAGGUGAUUGCAGUUUGUAAUUUCAGUAAACACUGAAGCAUGGGAGGAGGCAUUAAAUACAUAAAAGAAAAAAAAUAGUCAUUAUUUGUUUUAACAUUCCUUUAUUUUCUAAAAAUGCUGACUCUACUAUGGUCAUUCUUUCUUAUGGUGGCCACCAUGCUCACAUUUUCAGCCACAUCUUUUGUAGUGGUUGUGAUUAAAUAUCACAUUCCCCUCCAGUUGUUUUGUCCAUCAUCUGCCAAGUGUUUUGACAGCUUUCCAGUAUUUUCUGGGUGGUUUGUGUCCUCUUGUAUUGCUUUCUCAUCAAAAUGAUAAUUGGAAUUUCACAUUAGUAUAAAGAUUUUAUGGUUUUGAUAAAUGCUUUGGUCACCCAGAGAAAGACUCAUAAGAUUCUUCUCCAUUAUCUUCGUUGUUUACAGCCUACUGUAGUUCCCUAUAUGACAGCAAUAUCGCUUUUAGUGAGAAAUGUUUAGUUACUGUAGCCUUCAAUAGCCCUUCUGGAGUACAGAAUAAGCAUACAUGUCCUUGAAACAGCCUUUUGGUCUUCUCUGUUUCCUGAUCAGACCAUACUUGUCUGAACUGUUCAACUAGAUCUCUAUAAUGACAAUUAGGACAGGAUUUUUAAUA